UUGUCACAUCGUAUCCAUGAUCCGUUCUUACUAUUUUAAGCCGACAUAAAAAAGUAGGUUCUCAGGUUGACCUCUAUGUAUGUGUGUAUGUGUGUAUGAUGUAUGUUUGUCCGCAAUUAUCGCUCGUUUAGCUGAACCGACUCUGAUGCGGUUUUCAGUACAAUAUUUGUCACAUUUAGGG